rnacentral:rRNA from 1 species
GAUUCUGGCUCAGGAUGAACGCUAGCUACAGGCUUAACACAUGCAAGUCGAGGGGCAGCGAGAAGAAAGCUUGCUUCUUGUCGGCGACCGGCGCACGGGUGAGUAACGCGUAUCCAACCUUCCCCUUAGUAGAGGAUAGCCCGGCGAAAGUCGGAUUAAUACUCUAUGUUGUAUUAUGAGGACAUCUGAGUAAUACCAAAGAUUCAUCGCUAAGGGAUGGGGAUGCGUCUGAUUAGCUUGUUGGCGGGGUAACGGCCCACCAAGGCGACGAUCAGUAGGGGUUCUGAGAGGAAGGUCCCCCACAUUGGUACUGAGACACGGACCAAACUCCUACGGGAGGCAGCAGUGAGGAAUAUUGGUCAAUGGGCGGAAGCCUGAACCAGCCAAGUAGCGUGCAGGACGACUGCCCUAUGGGUUGUAAACCUCUUUUGUUUGGGAAUAAAGUGAGCCACGUGUGGCUUUUUGUAUGUACCUUACGAAUAAGCAUCGGCUAAUUCCGUGCCAGCCGCCGC